AACACGACUCUCGACAAUGGAUAUCUCGGCUCUUGCAUCGAUGAAGAGCGCAGCGAAAUGCGAUACGUGGUGCGAAUUGCAGAAUCCCGCGAAC
rnacentral:rRNA from 1 species